UCUUCCGUAGUCUAGUGGUCAUGAUUUCCGCUUGUCAUUUCAAGUCGCCUUCAAGCGCUUGAGUGCGCGGACGGCCCGGGUUCGAUUCCCGGCGGGAGAG